rnacentral:rRNA from 1 species
ACACAUGCAAGUCGAACGGCAGCACGGGUGCUUGCACCUGGUGGCGAGUGGCGGACGGGUGAGUAAUGCAUCGGAACGUAUCCUUAAGUGGGGGAUAACGCAUCGAAAGAUGUGCUAAUACCGCAUAAUCUCUGAGGAGAAAAGCAGGGGCUCUUAGGACCUUGUGCUUUUGGAGCGGCCGAUGCCUGAUUAGCUAGUUGGUGGGGUAAAGGCCUACCAAGGCUUCGAUCAGUAGUUGGUCUGAGAGGACGACCAGCCACACUGGGACUGAGACACGGCCCAGACUCCUACGGGAGGCAGCAGUGGGGAAUUUUGGACAAUGGGGGCAACCCUGAUCCAGCCAUGCCGCGUGAGUGAAGAAGGCCUUCGGGUUGUAAAGCUCUUUCAGUCGGGAAGAAAAGGUUACGGUUAAUACCUGUAAUUCAUGACGGUACCCGCAGAAUAAGCACCGGCUAACUACGUGCCAGCAGCCGCGGUAAUACGUAGGGUGCAAGCGUUAAUCGGAUUUACUGGGCGUAAAGCGUGCGCAGGCGGCUUUGCAAGACAAGUGUGAAAUCCCCGGGCUUAACCUGGGAACUGCAUUUGUGACUGCAAGGCUAGAGUGUGUCAAA